GACGAACGCUGGCGGCGUGCUUAACACAUGCAAGUCGAACGGAAAGGCCCCUUUGGGGGUCCUCGAGUGGCGAACGGGUGAGUAACACGUGAGUAACCUGCCCUUGACUUCGGGAUAACUUCAGGAAACUGGGGCUAAUACCGGAUAGGAAUCCUUGCUGCAUGGUGGGGGUUGGAAAGCUUCGGCGGGUUUGGAUGGACUCGCGGCUUAUCAGCUUGUUGGUGGGGUAGUGGCUUCGCAAGGCUUUGACGGGUAGCCGGCCUGAGAGGGGGACCGGCCACAUUGGGACUGAGAUACGGCCCAGACGCCUACGGGAGGCAGCAGUGGGGAAUAUUGCACAAUGGGCGGAAGCCUGAUGCAGAAACGCCGCGGGCGGGAGGACGGCCUUCGGGUUGUAAACCGCUGUCAGCAGGGGCGAAGCUUGUGGUGACGGUACCUGCAGAAGAAGCACCGGCUAACUACGUG
rnacentral:rRNA from 1 species